UACAGGGGGGGCAAGCGUUGUUCGGAAUUACUGGGUGUAAAGGGUUCGUAGGCGGUGCGGCAAGUCGGGAGUGAAAUCUCUGGGCUUAACCCAGAGGCUGCUUCCGAAACUGCUGUGCUUGAGUGUGGGAGAGGCGCGUGGAAUUGCAGGUGUAGCGGUGAAAUGCGUAGAUAUCGAGAGGAACACCUGCGGCGAAGGCGGGUUGCUGGGCCGACACUGACGCUGAUGCGCGAAAGCCAGGGGAGCGAACGGG
rnacentral:rRNA from 1 species